GGAAGCGAACCGAGCCAUGGACCCUCAGGACUGCACCUGUGCUGCUGGUGACUCCUGCUCCUGCGCUGGGUCGUGCGAGUGCAAGAACUGCCGCUGCCGGAGCUGCCGUAAGAGCUGCUGCUCCUGCUGCCCUGCCGGCUGCAACAACUGUGCCAAGGGCUGUGUGUGCAAGGAGCCGGCCAGCAGCAAGUGCAGCUGCUGCCACUGAGCCGCCUACCUUGCCUGUAAAU